rnacentral:rRNA from 1 species
UGCAGUCGAGCGGUAGCACAGGAGAGCUUGCUCUCUGGGUGACGAGCGGCGGACGGGUGAGUAAUGUCUGGGAAACUGCCUGAUGGAGGGGGAUAACUACUGGAAACGGUAGCUAAUACCGCAUAANGUCUACGGACCAAAGUGGGGGACCUUCGGGCCUCAUGCCAUCAGAUGUGCCCAGAUGGGAUUAGCUAGUAGGUGGGGUAAUGGCUCACCUAGGCGACGAUCCCUAGCUGGUCUGAGAGGAUGACCAGCCACACUGGAACUGAGACACGGUCCAGACUCCUACGGGAGGCAGCAGUGGGGAAUAUUGCACAAUGGGCGCAAGCCUGAUGCAGCCAUGCCGCGUGUGUGAAGAAGGCCUUCGGGUUGUAAAGCACUUUCAGCGAGGAGGAAGGGNNNNNUGUUAAUAGCACUGUGCAUUGACGUUACUCGCAGAAGAAGCACCGGCUAACUCCGUGCCAGCAGCCGCGGUAAUACGGAGGGUGCAAGCGUUAAUCGGAAUUACUGGGCGUAAAGCGCACGCAGGCGGUUUGUUAAGUCAGAUGUGAAAUCCCCGCGCUUAACGUGGGAACUGCAUUUGAAACUGGCAAGCUAGAGUCUUGUAGAGGGGGGUAGAAUUCCAGGUGUAGCGGUGAAAUGCGUAGAGAUCUGGAGGA